rnacentral:lncRNA from 1 species
CUUUUGUAUGUUUUAAUGAUAUUUUCUCACUAAACUUAUUAUAUAUAUAUAUUAGUUACAAAUAGAAAUAUCGAAUUAACGACACAAGCAAACAUAAAUUGGAUGCCUCUCUAGAUUGUGGCCGGACUAUCAGAUAAAUUUUCAGGUACGUAUAUACAGAAGAGUUUAUACUUUUGAUACAAAACACUGUAUAGCAGAUUUUCUUUAGAUCUAUCCUCCUGAUUGGUUUAUUAUUAAAACUAUGAUUUAAGACACCAAAAGUUCGUUGUCAGAAAAAUGUAAAGGACUCUGACAGAGGCCCUACACGUGAUAAAUUAUCGAAUUUUAUUUUAAUAUAUUCUUUAAUAAUGGAACCAAAAGUAUGAAAUGAUAGUCAUAUAUAUAUUUGGAUUUAGAUAAUAAUACUAAUCCUAGUGUAAACACGAAGCUAUUGAAAUUCGAAAUUUAUGGUAUUGUUAAUGAUAGAAACCUAGCAUACACCUUGAUUUAAAUUUGUCAUUGUAUGCUGCCUAGAUUUAUUAUCAUCCAUCUUAAUUUUGUUUUGGAAAUUAAAACAUACUCUCU